UUGAACGCUGGCGGCAGGCCUAACACAUGCAAGUCGAACGGUAACAGGAAGCAGCUUGCUGCUUCGCUGACGAGUGGCGGACGGGUGAGUAAUGUCUGGGAAACUGCCUGAUGGAGGGGGAUAACUACUGGAAACGGUAGCUAAUACCGCAUAACGUCGCAAGACCAAAGAGGGGGACCUUCGGGCCUCUUGCCAUCGGAUGUGCCCAGAUGGGAUUAGCUAGUAGGUGGGGUAACGGCUCACCUAGGCGACGAUCCCUAGCUGGUCUGAGAGGAUGACCAGCCACACUGGAACUGAGACACGGUCCAGACUCCUACGGGAGGCAGCAGUGGGGAAUAUUGCACAAUGGGCGCAAGCCUGAUGCAGCCAUGCCGCGUGUAUGAAGAAGGCCUUCGGGUUGUAAAGUACUUUCAGCGGGGAGGAAGGGAGUAAAGUUAAUACCUUUGCUCAUUGACGUUACCCGCAGAAGAAGCACCGGCUAACUCCGUGCCAGCAGCCGCGGUAAUACGGAGGGUGCAAGCGUUAAUCGGAAUUACUGGGCGUAAAGCGCACGCAGGCGGUUUGUUAAGUCAGAUGUGAAAUCCCCGGGCUCAACCUGGGAACUGCAUCUGAUACUGGCAAGCUUGAGUCUCGUAGAGGGGGGUAGAAUUCCAGGUGUAGCGGUGAAAUGCGUAGAGAUCUGGAGGAAUACCGGUGGCGAAGGCGGCCCCCUGGACGAAGACUGACGCUCAGGUGCGAAAGCGUGGGGAGCAAACAGGAUUAGAUACCCUGGUAGUCCACGCCGUAAACGAUGUCGACUUGGAGGUUGUGCCCUUGAGGCGUGGCUUCCGGAGCUAACGCGUUAAGUCGACCGCCUGGGGAGUACGGCCGCAAGGUUAAAACUCAAAUGAAUUGACGGGGGCCCGCACAAGCGGUGGAGCAUGUGGUUUAAUUCGAUGCAACGCGAAGAACCUUACCUGGUCUUGACAUCCACAGAACUUUCCAGAGAUGGAUUGGUGCCUUCGGGAACUGUGAGACAGGUGCUGCAUGGCUGUCGUCAGCUCGUGUUGUGAAAUGUUGGGUUAAGUCCCGCAACGAGCGCAACCCUUAUCCUUUGUUGCCAGCGGUCCGGCCGGGAACUCAAAGGAGACUGCCAGUGAUAAACUGGAGGAAGGUGGGGAUGACGUCAAAUCAUCAUGCCCCUUAUGAUUUGGGCUACACACGUGCUACAAUGGCGUAAACAAAGGGAAGCGAGCCUGCGAAGGUAAGCAAAUCCCAAAAAUAACGUCCCAGUUCGGACUGCAGUCUGCAACUCGACUGCACGAAGAUGGAAUCGCUAGUAAUCGCGAAUCAGCAUGUCGCGGUGAAUACGUUCUCGGGCCUUGUACACACCGCCCGUCACACCAUGAGAGUCGGUAACACCCGAAGCCGGUGGCCUAACCGCAAGGAAGGAGCUGUCUAAGGUGGGACUGAUGAUUGGGGUG
rnacentral:rRNA from 1 species